rnacentral:rRNA from 1 species
UUCCGGUUGAUCCUGCCGGAGGCGACCGCUUUUGGAGUUCGAUUAAGCCAUGCGAGUAGAAAGAAAUUAGAUUCUUUGCGAACUGCUCAGUAACACGUGGAUAACCUGCCCUAUGCUCCGGAAUAACCUCGGGAAACUGAGAAUAAUACCGGAUAGAUCACAACGCCUGGAACGGUGUGUGGUUGAAAGAUUACGGCAUAGGAUGGGUCUGCGGCGUAUCAGGUUGUAGGGGGUGUAAAGGACCUCCUAGCCAUCGACGCGUACGGGUGUUGGGAGACAUAGCCCGGAGAUGGAUUCUGAGACACGAAUCCAGACCCUACGGGGUGCAGCAGGCGCGAAAACUUCACACUGCAGGAAACUGUGAUGAGGGAACUCCAAGUGCACGCACUUAGUGUGUGCUUUUUUCAACUAUUAAUCGGUUGAAGAAUAAGGGCUGGGAAAGACCGGUGCCAGCCGCCGCGGUAAUACCGGCAGCUCAAGUGGCCGUCGCUUUUAUUGGGCCUAAAACGUCCGUAGCCUGUUUGGUAAAUCUGUGGGUAAAUCAACCAGCUUAACUGGUUGAAUUCUGCAGAGACUGCCAGACUAGGGACCGGGAGAGGUGUGGGGUACUCUAGGGGUAGGGGUAAAAUCCUGUCAUCCUUAGAGGACCACCAGUUGCGAAGGCGCCACACUGGAACGGAUCCGACGGUCAGGGACGAAGCCUAGGGGCACGAACCGGAUUAGAUACCCGGGUAGUCCUAGGUGUAAACGCUGUGAACUUGGUGUCGGGGAUCCGUCAUGGGUCCCCGGUGCCGGAGUGAAGAUGUUAAGUUCACUGCCUGGGGAGUACGGUCGCAAGGCUGAAACUUAAAGGAAUUGGCGGGGGAGCACUGCAACGGGAGGAGCGUGCGGUUUAAUUGGAUUCAACGCCGGA